rnacentral:rRNA from 1 species
CAGCAGCCACGGUAAUACGAAGGGGGCUAGCGUUGCUCGGAAUGACUGGGCGUAAAGGGCGCGUAGGCGGCGGCCAAAGUCAGGCGUGAAAUUCCCGGGCUCAACCUGGGGGCUGCGUUUGAUACUUGGUUGCUUGAGUGGGGAAGAGGGUCGUGGAAUUCCCAGUGUAGAGGUGAAAUUCGUAGAUAUUGGGAAGAACACCGGUGGCGAAGGCGGCGACCUGGUCCUUUACUGACGCUGAGGCGCGAAAGCGUGGGGAGCAAACAGGAUUAGAUACCCGAGUAGUCCCUGUCUCUUAUAU